UGGCGGCGUGCUUAACACAUGCAAGUCGAACGGUGAAGCCAAGCUUGCUUGGUGGAUCAGUGGCGAACGGGUGAGUAACACGUGAGCAACCUGCCCUGAACUCUGGGAUAAGCGCUGGAAACGGUGUCUAAUACUGGAUAUGAGCUGCGGAGGCAUCUUCGUGGUUGGAAAGAUUUUUCGGUUUGGGAUGGGCUCGCGGCCUAUCAGCUUGUUGGUGAGGUAAUGGCUCACCAAGGCGUCGACGGGUAGCCGGCCUGAGAGGGUGACCGGCCACACUGGGACUGAGACACGGCCCAGACUCCUACGGGAGGCAGCAGUGGGGAAUAUUGCACAAUGGGCGGAAGCCUGAUGCAGCAACGCCGCGUGAGGGAUGACGGCCUUCGGGUUGUAAACCUCUUUUAGCAGGGAAGAAGCGUGAGUGACGGUACCUGCAGAAAAAGCGCCGGCUAACUACGUGCCAGCAGCCGCGGUAAUACGUAGGGCGCAAGCGUUAUCCGGAAUUAUUGGGCGUAAAGAGCUCGUAGGCGGUUUGUCGCGUCUGCUGUGAAAACCCGAGGCUCAACCUCGGGCCUGCAGUGGGUACGGGCAGACUAGAGUGCGGUAGGGGAGAUUGGAAUUCCUGGUGUAGCGGUGGAAUGCGCAGAUAUCAGGAGGAACACCGAUGGCGAAGGCAGAUCUCUGGGCCGUAACUGACGCUGAGGAGCGAAAGGGUGGGGAGCAAACAGGCUUAGAUACCCUGGUAGUCCACCCCGUAAACGUUGGGAACUAGUUGUGGGGUCCAUUCCACGGAUUCCGUGACGCAGCUAACGCAUUAAGUUCCCCGCCUGGGGAGUACGGCCGCAAGGCUAAAACUCAAAGGAAUUGACGGGGACCCGCACAAGCGGCGGAGCAUGCGGAUUAAUUCGAUGCAACGCGAAGAACCUUACCAAGGCUUGACAUACACGAGAACGCUGCAGAAAUGUAGAACUCUUUGGACACUCGUGAACAGGUGGUGCAUGGUUGUCGUCAGCUCGUGUCGUGAGAUGUUGGGUUAAGUCCCGCAACGAGCGCAACCCUCGUUCUAUGUUGCCAGCACGUAAUGGUGGGAACUCAUGGGAUACUGCCGGGGUCAACUCGGAGGAAGGUGGGGAUGACGUCAAAUCAUCAUGCCCCUUAUGUCUUGGGCUUCACGCAUGCUACAAUGGCCGGUACAAAGGGCUGCAAUACCGCGAGGUGGAGCGAAUCCCAAAAAGCCGGUCCCAGUUCGGAUUGAGGUCUGCAACUCGACCUCAUGAAGUCGGAGUCGCUAGUAAUCGCAGAUCAGCAACGCUGCGGUGAAUACGUUCCCGGGUCUUGUACACACCGCCCGUCAAGUCAUGAAAGUCGGUAACACCUGAAGCCGGUGGCCCAACCCUUGU
rnacentral:rRNA from 1 species